CAGAAGCAGAAUUAAUGGAACCAGUAGCUGCUCUUCUGUGUUUUUGGUCGACCAAAGCUUAUCGCCGGUGACAUAUUCACAAUCCAUGCAUUCAGUUCCGGUUGUUUUGGCUUGGACUCUGGGAAGAGAUGAUGUCCAGGCCAUUUAUCCUUGCCAGUACAUAAUAACAUAUCUAGAAUUGGAGUCCGGUGAAAAUAUGGCAACAUUUCGUUGUACCACAUGCGGGACAGAGCCUGAAGAUAUAUAUAUCAACCCUUAUUUACAAAAAUUUCAAUGCGGCACAGGUACUGUUUAAAAGUUCUAUAGUUAUUUUUUCAAAGCACAAAACGUAUUAUAGCAUUACCUAAAAAUUGUUGCAGUGUUCUUUGAAGGAUUCAACUCGAAAUCCAGGAGGAAGCACUUGAAAGCAGCUCUUAUUGGUAAGACAAAGACACCCUUUUUUAUUACAUUUUGAACUUAAUAAUGUCAUACAUGGUAUCUUUUCUACUAGAAGCCUUGGAAGUUAGAAGAAAUGAGGAUUGCUUGAUCUGUGAAAUAAACAAAAUUUUGUGCCUACUUAGAUUCAUUCUUUCCCAUCCACCCCCCAAAACUGAAAUGAAAACAAUAAAAAGAAAUUGAAAGAAUUGAUAAUGGUAAAAGACAAAACCUCCUACUUGAAAAGUAAAUGUAUACCCGAAAUUUGUAAAUAACAGAUGCUCAAUAAAGUACUCUUUUGACUUGGAAAUUUGCCGUUGACUAGCAUGGCUUUAGCAAGAAAACACCUCUUAGUUCUGAUCCCAAAAAAAAAAAAAAAA
rnacentral:lncRNA from 1 species